UCCCACCCCUCUAAAUUUUUCAGCCGCCACUCUCUUCCUCCUUCUCCCUCGCGCAGGUCUGCUCCAGCCGACGCCCUGUCUUCUUCCUCACGGUGGUCAGCAGGGAGCUCGGCCAGCAGCCAUGGCCUCCUCCACUUCUUCCCCAUGGAAGCCGGCUCCUUCUCCAUGCUCCCUCCCUAGCCGAGCACCUCCAGCAGCCAUGGCCGAGCUUCUUUUCUCCCCUGCUGUCCCCUGCGCGCAGGGAGCACCAAGGCCAGCGUCCCCUUCUCCCUGGUUUCCCUUGCGCAGUGGCAGAAGAAUCCAUGGACGUCGCCUCCCCAUGCUCCUAUGCGUGCAGGGAGCUGCGCCCUUUUCUUCUCGACAGCGCUCGGCUCCCUCCUCCCUGCGCAUUCCCUGCCCCACUGCCAGCAGGAGGCCAGCGGCCCUCAUCCUCCAGCUCCCGCCAUGGUCGAGCUCAGCAGCGCAGGGCGCGCCCUAUUUCCUUGCUCCAUGGCCGGCGCCCAACAGCAGUCCUGCGCAGCGCCGCUGCUCCAUCCCCUCCACAGCGCAGGCCCUCUUCCUCCCCACACAGCCAGCGUCGGGGACAUUCUUCCCCAUGGAGGCCGAGCCCCUCUCCCAACCAGCGCCCUCCCUGUUCCCCUGGACGACGCUGUCCUUUCCCAUGCCGCUGCUCCACCACGCGCACUACCUGCUUGACAGAAUGUCCGAUCUAUGCACAGCCCUUCUUCCUCCUCUCCCAUGGUGCUGCUCGUCGAGCCCUCCAUUUUUUUGGAUGCCGGCAAGAAAAAUCGGCGCAGCAGCCCUCCAGUUCAUUCUCCACUUCCCCGUCGCGAGUCAUCGCUCUCGCGCUUGCUGCGCAGCGAACAGCACGUCGGGGUGCCCGCCGGGUGUUUGCUGUUUUUUUGCGCAGCCCCGUGGUCGUCGUCGUUCACCCCGGAGAGAACCCCGUAUUUUGCGAGGAGAAGGCAAGUCGUUCAACGCUCGUCGAUGGCGAAGCUAUGCACAAAUCGGAAUCACCGUCGUCCUUACAAACGCCGUUUGAGUUUGUUUAUGGACCGAGAGAUGAUGAUCGGGCUAGUGAUGUGGUGCCAACCACAAGAUGCAGUCGGUGGACGACCCAAGGAAGGAUGGACUUAACCAGUGGAUGCUCGCCAAGCGAGUACCUCCCCCAGCAAACACUACUUAAGUGUUAAAUUAAAGGACCGAGAGAUGAUGAUCGGGCUAGUGAUGUGGUGCCAACCACAAGAUGCAGUCGGUGGACGACCCAAGGAAGGAUGGACUUAACCAGUGGAUGCUCGCCAAGCGAGUACCUCCCCCAGCAAACACUACUUAAGUGUUAAAUUAAAG
rnacentral:misc_RNA from 1 species